AGUUUGAUCUGGCUCAGGACGAACGCUGGCGGCGUGCCUUAAUACAUGCAAGUCGAACGAACUCUGGUAUUGAUGGAUGCUUGCAUCAUGAUUUACAUUUGAGUGAGUGGCGAACUGGUGAGUAACACGUGGGAAACCUGCCCAGAAGCGGGGGAUAACACCUGGAAACAGAUGCUAAUACCGCAUAACAACUUGGACCGCAUGGUCUGAGUUUGAAAGAUGGCUUCGGCUAUCACUUUUGGAUGGUCCCGCGGCGUAUUAGCUAGAUGGUGGGGUAACGGCUCACCAUGGCAAUGAUACGUAGCCGACCUGAGAGGGUAAUCGGCCACAUUGGGACUGAGACACGGCCCAAACUCCUACGGGAGGCAGCAGUAGGGAAUCUUCCACAAUGGACGAAAGUCUGAUGGAGCAACGCCGCGUGAGUGAAGAAGGGUUUCGGCUCGUAAAACUCUGUUGUUAAAGAAGAACAUAUCUGAGAGUAACUGUUCAGGUAUUGACGGUAUUUAACCAGAAAGCCACGGCUAACUACGUGCCAGCAGCCGCGGUAAUACGUAGGUGGCAAGCGUUGUCCGGAUUUAUUGGGCGUAAAGCGAGCGCAGGCGGUUUUUUAAGUCUGAUGUGAAAGCCUUCGGCUCAACCGAAGAAGUGCAUCGGAAACUGGGAAACUUGAGUGCAGAAGAGGACAGUGGAACUCCAUGUGUAGCGGUGAAAUGCGUAGAUAUAUGGAAGAACACCAGUGGCGAAGGCGGCUGUCUGGUCUGUAACUGACGCUGAGGCUCGAAAGUAUGGGUAGCAAACAGGAUUAGAUACCCUGGUAGUCCAUACCGUAAACGAUGAAUGCUAAGUGUUGGAGGGUUUCCGCCCUUCAGUGCUGCAGCUAACGCAUUAAGCAUCCGC
rnacentral:rRNA from 1 species